rnacentral:misc_RNA from 1 species
AGCGGGUGAAGCUAGCUUGUGGCAAUUGGCCUUCCCAUGUGGAGAUCAUGUUGGCUGAGGGUCUUGACAAGCAGCCUUUGCAAUAUAUCAUAGCCCAACUGAGACAACAUCAUUUCAAUUGUGUUCGAUUCACUUGGGCAACUCACAUGUUCACACGCUACGCUAACCGUACUGUGAUGGAAUCUCUUGAUUCUUUUAACCUGACAGAUGCUAAAGCAGGAAUAGCCAAGAACAACCCUUUUGUAUUGAAACUGACCCUUGUUCAAGCCUUUGAAGCUGUGAUUGAUCAUUUUGGGGCACAGGGUGUAAUGGUGGUGCUUGAUAACCAGGUCAGUAGACCAACCUGGUGUUGUGGAUAUGACGAUGGUAAUGGUUUCUUCGGUGACGCAGAUUUUGAUGCUGACGAGUGGCUGCAAGGUUUAGCUAUGGUAGCUGGGCGCUUUAAAGGCAAAUCUCAGGUCAUAGGAAUAAGCACUCGGAACGAGUUGCGAGGUCCUCUUGCAAAUGAGGAUGACUGGUACAAAUACAUCUAUCAAGGAGGAGCAACCAUUCACAAGGCAAAUCCUGAUGUUCUAAUAUUUGCUUCAGGGUUGGCUUAUGCUAGUGACCUCACUUUCUUGAAGAAAAAGCAUUUGCAGACUAACUUUGAUAACAAGUUAUUGUAUGAGGCACAUUGGUACGCUUUCAGUUGGGGGGAAGGCAAAGUUUGGGGGAUGGAAUUUGUGAAUAAGGCUUGUCAAAGCAAAACUCAAUACUUUAUUAACCAAACUGGUUUUGUUGUUAAUGGUGACAAUCCAUUUCCUAUGUUUGUGGGUGAAUUUGGUCUAGAUCAAAGAGGUUUGAGCCGUGCUGAUGAACACUUCUAUGCAUGCUUUUUGGCCUAUGCUGCUGAUGAAGACUUGGAUUGGGGUGUCUGGGCAUGGCAAGGAAGCUAUUAUUACCGCGAGAAUAAAACCGGAACAGAGGAGACAUAUGGAGUCAUGGAUUUCAAUUGGAACCGUGUUAGAAAUAAAGAAUUCCAGAAUAGGAUGCAACUUAUUAAGAGCAAGCUUCAAGACCCGAGUUCAAGAAUUUCCACAUCCUUCAUAAUGUUUCAUCCACUAAGUGGCAGCUGCAUCAAUACAGAAGAUAGAAAGGGAAUAUAUGCUACCGGUUGCAAAGCUCCUAGUCAUUGGAUUCAUGAGGGAGAUAGGACUCCGAUCAGGUUGAGAGGCACAAAACUAUGCCUUAAAGCUGUUGGUGAUGGACUUGAACCAAUUCUUUCUGAGGACUGCUCAAGCAAGCAAAGUUCUUGGACAUCUCUAUCAGAGAGUAAGCUUCACUUGGCUGCCAUUGAUGAGAACGGAGAAUAUCUGUGCUUGCAAAAGGAAUCCCGCUACACCACCAGGAUACUAACUAGCAGUUGUGUUUUCAUACAUGAAGAACCAGAGUGCCAGAAGGAUCCUCAGAAAGACCCAGUAACUCAAUGGUUUAAACUCGUCAAGACAAAUGUACUGUAGUUGACAUUAGUAAUUAAUUAAGGUUAAAAAUAAUUUAGUUAGAUAGUUGUUUUGAAUUUCUGUUUCUUUAUUUAGAACUACUUGUCUGAUGGCAUUUCUUUAAACAAG